UCUGCAGCCAGGGUAGCCAAGGCACCCAGCAACCCAGGGAAGCAGGUGGGCGGCAGGUGGGGAAGAGGAAGGGUGAGCUUCCCCCCCCCCCCCAAGCAUGCGAGAAUCCACCAGCAAGGGAGCCUGCCAGCUAACCUCUUCCUUUGUUGACCGGCAUUAGGGCUGGUCACAGUCACAUACACACCCGUUAUAAGAUAAGGGAGGGAGGGAGGAAGGAGGGAGGGAAAGAACGAAGGAGGGUGGAAAGGAGGAAGGAAAGCAAGGCGGCUCUUGUACUCUGGUGCAACUCUGCCGAGAUGCUUGCGAAAAUAAAGGGAAGAAAAAAAGCCCAAACCCAAACUCAAGAACAACGAGAGAAUACAAGUUUGUUUGCUAGACCCUGCAAAAGCUCAGGGAAAAGUAUUUUUUUCCCCCUUUAACAAACAAACAAAAAAGGCGGGGGGGGGGCGCUAUUUAUUAGACUUAACCUUCCUAACUCCUUUCUCAUCACACAGCACAAAUGCAACUUCCUACAUUGCUUCUUCUACUAUACAUCUAAAUACGUCAUUCCCUCCAACAUCCUGGGGAAAAAAUCCUCAAUGAAAAAAUUGUUUACCUUAAUAACGUAAGAGGUAAUCAUGUCCUUUAUGGAAAAGUCUGGUUAUCCUGGUAGGCAGCAGGAAAGCAGCAAAUAUCCUGCUAUAGAAAAGUGGGGAGGAGGGAUAAUCUAUUAAUAUUGCUCAGCUUUGAAGCAUAUAGGCAGAAGGUGAACGAAGAAAAGGCGAGCGACCUUCCGAGCAGGAGCAGAGCAAGGCAUAGGGCUGGCUCUAAACAGCUCUAAGCUUAUCUUCGUCUCAGGGGCAGAUUGCACCAGAAAUCUCCCCCCUAGCAACGCCAGCACAUCAGGCCCGCACCCUCACUCCUCUCACUGGUCCCGCAUUUAACAUUAACUGACAUGGGUGUUAGUCUUCUUGAUCUUUUAGAUAUUCUCUCCCAGGAUCAAUUGCCAACCUUUCACACGUAUGGUUUAGCAGGGUUUGUGCAAGAAAAUUCAAUCCGUUCUUUCUCUUCCUGGUUUUCAUGCACCAUCCUUCCGGGCUUGAAAUAGACAAAGCACAGUCACUGAAUUACACUCAUCACAUGAUGGCACUGCUGCUGAAGCCCCUGUUUCCUUCUCUUCCCAGAGAGGUGCUGCUGCUGCUUCCAGAGACUGAGCAUCUGUCAAAUGUUUUUUUGCUUUGUAUAUUUUCAGUCUAACAACGUAGCAAAGGAGGAUGCCCUGUUUUCCGCCAGUGAUUCUCAGGGAGCCCUGCCAGGAUGGGGUCAAGAAAGAUGCAAGAAAGACAGCCCGUGAUCUGAGCCUCAAUACAUGGUGCUCCCUGGAAACCAGCUGUUUCCUUUAGGACUCUUCAAGAUUCUCUUUGAGCAUCAAGUCACUCUGAGUACCUCUGGCUUCCAGCUUCAAGAGAGAAGAUGAAAGAAGCCAACCCCACCUUCAGUUCCUGAAGGAAAAGAUGCUGGGAAAACAUAGGAAGAGCUGGCAGUCACCAUCAUCUUUGUCAUCAGUUUUCAAUGCUAGAGACUUCAGGGAGUUUUUCUUGGGUGAGAUCUAAAAUGCUCUCCCUCUCCCAAUGGGAGAGCUGUUUCAUGCUAUAUUGUCUGGUAUAUAUUCUCCUGUGUAUACCCUCUCUGAUUUCUCUUUAGCUACCAAAUUUGAACAAAUGGUUUUUUCUCUACUAUUUGCUAUGUGUGCUCAUUGUGGAACUGGUAUUAGGUUGGAAGGGGUCAAGUAAGCCUUGGAUAUCCUCUUGGGAGCUUGGGAUUUCCCCUUCUCCCCAAUAAUGACAAAGUAAUCAGACGUUAGCUUGAACCCCAUCUUAUCCCCAAGACUAAAAAUAUUUAAGGGAGCAGAUAUAUAUAAUUCUAGUCUGGUACCCCCUGUCUCUGAGGAGAGCAGAGUAGCAUCUAGUUCCAAUUUCCUACUUCCCCUCCUGGCAGAAAUUAAAGUCUCCCUUGGAGAAGGGCGGGAGGAGAAGUUGGAGAUUCUGUUCUGCCUCUGUUCAAGUCACACACAUUCAGGCUAGUCUUGUUACACCUUACUUCUCUCCUUGCACUUUGUCAUUCAGCAACACUCUGACCUUGCUGUUCCUCAUACAUAACAUUCCAUCUCCAAGCUGAGUAUUUUCAUCAGCUGUCUCCCACGUCAGAAAUUCUUUCCAUGUUUAUUCCUGCCUCCUGCCUUCUCUGGCUUCCUUGAAGUCCCAACUAAAGUCCUACCUGCUGUGAGAAGUCUUUCCCAGGUACAGUGGAUAGUGUUCUGAGCCUGGAUCAAAUCCAGUCUCAGACACUUAAUAGCUGUGUGAUC